ensembl:snRNA U6 U6 spliceosomal RNA
GUGCUUGGUUCAGCAGCAUGUAUCCUAAAAUUGGAACCAUACAGAGAAAAUUAGCAUGGCCCCUGCAAAAGGAUGACACACAAAUAUAUAUAGUAUUUUUUCAUAGUU